UACGAAGGGGGCUAGCGUUGCUCGGAAUCACUGGGCGUAAAGGGUGCGUAGGCGGGUCUUUAAGUCAGGGGUGAAAUCCUGGAGCUCAACUCCAGAACUGCCUUUGAUACUGAAGAUCUUGAGUUCGGGAGAGGUGAGUGGAACUGCGAGUGUAGAGGUGAAAUUCGUAGAUAUUCGCAAGAACACCAGUGGCGAAGGCGGCGACCUGGGCCAAUACUGACACUGAGGUGCGAAAGCGUGGGGAGCAAACAGG
rnacentral:rRNA from 1 species